AUGAGUUUGCCACACAGGAGUACAGUGCUCCCUGUGCCACAGUCAAGGCUGAACAGGGAAAUUCCUGAAGAAUGCAUCUUAUCUGAGCCUUGCUGUAUCACCUCAUAUGUCUCUGACCCUAGAAGAUCUUCUUGCUGAGGGUGGGGUAUUGAAACAUUAGAGGAGGACACCUCAAAACCAAAAAGGAAGUAACACUAUAAAUAAAUUAAGUUUUGAUUCUCAUCA